UAUUCAGUCUAAAGCAAGAUCGUCUGGUGGACAGCCAUAAAUAGACAAUUGCUGUACGAAGCAACCUCAUGCAGCUGAGCAUCGCUUGGAUUGGCUUCAAUAAGGAAUAACUGAACUCUCGGAAGCCAAGGUGAGCCUUCCUGUUUCCAUUGUCGCAGACAUUCAUGUUGUUAUCCCUUCCCGGCCGUUAUUCGAGCUUCCACAGGAAUUUAUACUGUUAUUAGCGACUGAAAGCGUAGCCUACUACACUAUAUUUUGCCUUUAGACUAUAUUUAGAUCAUAUAUAUCGACUAUAAUGUCUGUAAUGAUAUUGUAUUAUUGUAAUGAUUGAGUGUGCAUGAAUGAACUUGGGCAAAAGAAUCAGAUCGAGACACCGCGUGUCGCGUGACGUGAGGUUUUGGCAUGGAA